rnacentral:lncRNA from 1 species
UAAAAUUGUAUUAGAAUUGUAGAUGGUAGUUCUAAUUGAGGCUAAUUAGCGGGGUUUUUUCGAUAAUUUCAACUGUUUGCAGCUCAGAUUUUUAGCCAAAAAUUGGCCCCUUUUCAUCAAUUGAACAGAAAAGAAAAAAACUGAAAUUUUGCCCUUUGCUUCAUCGAUUAGGAAAUAAAGAUGUAGCAAAUUUGUGGAUGGUCCAUUUGGGAGCGAAACAAUCCUCCUUUAAUGGUUUAACUGAUGUAAAAAAGUGAUGGUUAGAUAUUAUCACAAUGUAGCUGGUUUUGUAUAGGUCUCGUAUGCUGGCUCAUGCAUCUUAUGUUUCUCGGGUAUAUGUAUAUUUUGAUCACUUUACUGAACUUGGCAUACAUCAAUUCAUUUCCCUCCAGAUUAUCCAUUCAAGCCUCCAAAGGUACAAAUAGAAAAACCGGGUCCUCAUGUUUCUAUAUGUUGUUGUGGUCAUGUUCCUCCAUACAGUAUCAUUAUUGAAACAUGAGCUUUUGUGAGUCAUAUAAUGGGUGAAAUGGAUACCUGCACAUAGUCUUUAGUUAUCUAUUCAUACAUGCAGGUGAUAUAUAUUUUGGCUACUUGAAAAGCAGCAUGCAUAUCUUUUGUUAAAAGUUGUAGCAUGCAUAUAUUUUGUGUACUUGGACAAAUUGCUUCUUACUGAAAGCAAAGCAGCAGCAUGCAUAUAUUUUGGCUAUCUGGACAAACUGUUUCUUACUGAAACCAACUUGCAUUUGUAUAUUUUGUGAACUUGGAUAUGUGGUUGGAUUAAUCUAUAUAACGUAACGACUGUAGUUGUGUUUUGUGAACCUUCUUUUAUGUUAUUGGAAAAUAUUUUGAAUUUGAUGUAUGAAAUUUACUAUUUUUCUUUGUUAUUUGAAAAUUUGUGUGGUUUUGAAUAGGUAUAAAUAUGAGAAAAGUUCAACAAACACAGAUUUUUCAAUUUUUUUUUCUUCCCUUUUCUUAUCUGGUUCAGUACCAAACACAAUAUAAAUAAUACGAUCAUUAGUUUAAUACUGCACCAAACACUCGACUAAUUUAGUUAGUACCAUCCGAUGUCUAUUUAUCCUAUUCGACAAAAAUAGUCAAUACAGUUUGCCAAACGAUGCCUAAGAUUUAUUAAAGUAUAAUGUUAGAGAUAUUAAAUUUUUAUAUCAAAUUUGUCAAUAAUAAAAUAUAAAUACAUUAAACAACACUCAUUUAAUAAUUUAAUUAUCUAUAAUCAUAUAAUUUGAUUUCAAAUUUGAUAGAAAAAAUUUGGUAGUACCUUAUCAAAGACACUUCGAUGUCUCUGGUUUUUUAUCUGGGCUUUUGCUUGUUUUUUGUGAUUUAGGAUUCUCUUUCUCAUCCGGGUAAGUGCGAAAUCUCACUUGCAGGGCUCCAACGGCGAUGACAAGCUCAACCACCCACA